rnacentral:tRNA from 1 species
GGGGAAGUGGUGGAAUGGCAGACACGCAUGCUUCAGGUGCAUGUGUGAGAAAUCGCGUGAGGGUUCAAAUCCCUUCUUCCCCA